UACAGAGGUCUCAAGCGUUGUUCGGAUUCAUUGGGCGUAAAGGGUGCGUAGGCGGCGCGGUAAGUCGGGUGUGAAAUCUCGGGGCUUAACUCCGAAACUGCAUUCGAUACUGCCGUGCUUGAGGACUGGAGAGGAGACUGGAAUUUACGGUGUAGCAGUGAAAUGCGUAGAGAUCGUAAGGAAGACCAGUAGCGAAGGCGAGUCUCUGGACAGUUGCUGACGCUGAGGCACGAAGGCCAGGGGAGCAAACGGG
rnacentral:rRNA from 1 species